UACGUAGGGGCCUAGCGUUGUCCGGAUUUAUUGGGCGUAAAGAGCUCGUAGGCGGUUCGGUAAGUCAGGGGUGAAAUCCUGGAGCUCAACUCCAGAACUGCCUUUGAUACUGAGGAUCUCGAGUCCGGGAGAGGUGAGUGGAACUGCGAGUGUAGAGGUGAAAUUCGUAGAUAUUCGCAAGAACACCAGUGGCGAAGGCGGCUCACUGGCCCGGUACUGACGCUGAGGUGCGAAAGCGUGGGGAGCAAACAGG
rnacentral:rRNA from 1 species